rnacentral:lncRNA from 1 species
AUUAGAUUUGGAACAAGAUCUGACAAGACCAGUCUCAACAAUACCCCACGGUUGUGGUGGAAUUUGAGGGAUUCCUGUUUGUUUAUUUCAAAUUUUUAAACUUAGCAUGGUGAAUAGAACUUUCAACGCAUUUGUUGUAAUAUUUACAGAGCAAGAGUGAAGGUUUAUUAAAGUGAUAUUUAAAUUUGCAACUCGUAUAUGCUUCCUGGAUCUUGUUUGCACGUGUGGUCUAAAGUCGCCUCGUGUGCAUUUUGCUUCGCUGUUGUUUUAAACGAGAGUUUCCUGUAGCGUUUAAAAGGUAAGUUCUUUGAUAUAAUUUUCUCAAAGAUGUGUUUUUAUCAUAUAAAUGAUUUAAACUUUAAGAGACAUAGUUUACAGUAUAAUAGUGUGCAUUUAUAAAUAUUAGUUUGUUGGUUGUAUGCCAUGCUCGCUAAUUUGGCACAGUUGAUAUAAACAUCAAUAUAUUUUCGUGUUUCUUUUCGGCUUUUGAAAUGCAGAAUAGAUUAGAGUAGCUGUCGUAUUUCUUUUGGGGAAAAUGUUUGUGUUUAAAGGCUCAAUUUAAGUGAAAUGCUUAAUCAAUUUGUCAAGUAUAAAUUUAUAAACAAGCAAAUUAUAUAUCAUAAACGAUGACCUUUUAUUAUUUUUAUCAAAUACCACCUGCAGUGUGAAAUGAUUGCUCAAUUGUUUGAAAAUAUAAUUGAUUAAUUGUUUUGUCUGUGAAUUAUUAACUUGGAGAUCUGUUGGGUGGCAGAAAUGGGGAGAAGAGAGGUUGUCUCGGACCAGACUGUUUUUUGUUGUGUGCACAGAAGAGUGUGCAAGGUCUUCAGUGUGCAACUUUUAUUUCAAAAGCUAAAUUAUUGGUACAUUCCUUGAUCUUCCCGCACACCUUUUUGAAAUAACACAGUCUUGACUUACUCACGACAUUACAUUUACACUGUGUUUGUGGCUUAUGGUAGACAUGGUGGUGUUUUGUGAAUAAAUGAAAGCACCAUACAUGAAAAAUAUUCUAAACAUAUCCAGUAAGCACUUUAUGAGUGGAUUGUUGAAUUUUUGAAAAGUCAGUAAUGACUGUUGACCAUGGUUAAAUUUUCCAGACUGUGAUAGCAUUGGUUUUCAUAAACCAGACUUUCUGAUAAAGAUGCACUGGUUGCUGAUGGUUGGUCCAGUGAAGACCAGCCCACAUUGGUCCAGUGUGGGUUACAGAGGAAACCAAUGAACUAAAGAAAAACUUUAGUGUAAUGAUUGUGGGAUAGCAGCUCUAAAUUGUUCAAUGUCAAGGUCUAGAUGGGCCGCUACCAUUUCAUCAGUGCUACUACAGGAGUAAACAAGUACCAGCAGUGUUUGGUAGACAAACUGGAAACUCUGUGUUCAUACAUGACUGAGGGGAAAUUAUAAUCAGAAAACUGUAUAUUGCAGCAAUCAAACCCUGGUCAAAGAGGUUAAACACACACACAAUACCCCCUAAUGUCCCCCUCCCUCCCCUUAUACCUCCUCCCUCCCUUUGUACUCCCUCCCUCCCUUUGUACCUCCUCCCUCCCUUUGUACCCCCUCCCUCCCUUUGUACCCCCUCCCUCCCUUUGUACCUCCUCCCUCCCUUUGUACCCCCUCCCUCCUCUUAUACCCUAACUGUUCAAAUUGGGGGGGGGGGAGGGUGAGUCAGCCCAACUGACCUAAUUUAUUACAGAUUAUAUUACAAAUGUCCAAAACAUCAGGGGUGCAUCCCCCCCCCCCAGGAUUGACACACUUGGCAGAGAGUUUUAUUGGUUUUAUAGAGAAUUUUGUGCAGUAAUAAGUUAACCACAAUAUUAACUUAUAUUAAACGUUUUAAUUAUUAAUAUUACCUUCUAAUUUAGUAAUUUCAGUUAAUUUGUAGUCCUGGCUGCAUAGACUAUGAAUCAAACUAUUUUUCCAUCUUAACAAAAGAACCAUUCAAACAUUAUUCUGUUGUGUUUGCUCUUAUUUAACUCUUUCAACAUUCUUACUAGACGAAGGUGCGUUGCCACGAAUCUAAGCAGUUUAAUAUUCAAUUCAAACGUACACUAAAGCCAGUAUCGUUUUAAAGAGAGGCAAGGGCAAUUUGCAUUAAUUACACCGACAAGUGUGAAGUUAUUAGUAUUACCAUACAACGUGUGCAUUCUUAAAGAUUAAAAACGAUUUUGCCACCUUGUUUUCGUGGUAACAAGUAAAGCGUCGUGGCGAAAGUGUUAAUUAAUUUUGGUUUAAGUGGAAAAGCAAGAUCCGUCUAUAAAUGAAUCAGAAUUUCUGGGGUUUUAUACCACGAGUCAUGACAGCUCGAGAUUGUGGUCGUAAUAUACCUACUUGUAUAUAUUUGUAGUUCUGAUUACAACAUUACUGAGGAUUAUUGCUUAUUGUAUUGAAAAUGUGGAAAAUUCACCGUGGACUAUAAAAAUUGGGAAGACUUAAUAGCAG